UACGGAGGGGGCUAGCGUUGUUCGGAAUUACUGGGCGUAAAGCGCACGUAGGCGGCUUUGUAAGUUAGAGGUGAAAGCCCGGAGCUUAACUCCGGAACUGCCUUUAAGACUGCAUCGCUUGAAUCAUGGAGAGGUUAGUGGAAUUCCGAGUGUAGAGGUGAAAUUCGUAGAUAUUCGGAAGAACACCAGUGGCGAAGGCGACUAACUGGACAUGUAUUGACGCUGAGGUGGCGAAAGCGUGGGGAGCAAACAGG
rnacentral:rRNA from 1 species